UAAGCACAUAGAGGCCCUCAGUGGACACAUAACCACCUUGCAUGGGAGCACCCUAAAGCAUUCCCCCCUACUAAAAGAGGGUGAAAAACUUCUAGAGCGCUGCUGCAGUCUCCACACCCAUCUGCUUUCUUCCAAGGAGAACCAGAGCUCUCUGUCCAGCCACACCCAGGCCUUCCAGACUCUGGCCCAGGACACCCACGCCUGGGUUAGAGUCUUGCAACAGCAGGCUGACUCUCUGGCCACUGGAGCCCCAUGCUACCACAGCCAGGCUGAGCAAAGACUACAAGCUGCAGAGACUGUGUUGAGUGCCAAGGCAGAGGGAGAGUCUCGAAUGAAGGAGCUGAAGGAAGCAUGCCACAGGCUGGCCCACAGACCGGGCCUGGGAGAGCGUCUGAAACUGGAUGUCAUGCAGACUGUCAGUGACACAGAGGUGCAGUGGGGAGCCGUUCUGCAGUCUGCAGACCAACACCGCAGUCUCCUGCAUGGUGAGCCCGAGCUCUCCUCCUCUCUUCUGGUCCAGAGGCAGCAGGCCUGGUCCAGAGUGGACCAGCUCCAGCACCAGACUACCCAGCUCUCCCUGUUCUUUCCCUGGCCCGGCCUGGCCCAACACAGGCAGGCUGCCCAACAGGCCCGGGCACUACUGGACCAGGCCACAGCCUUGGGGCCGGCUUUCUCUGCCUUAGGGGCCCAGAGGAAGGAGCUAGCCCAGCGCACCAAGGACCCCAAUUGGGAGGACCCUUCCUGGACUACACUAGAGGAUUGCCAACCCGCCUUGGUCAAAAAGCUCCAUGUGAGUAGGCUAUGUUUGAAAUAUUUUAAUAAAGGAGAUUUCUGAAGUCAAACGGGCAAUUCCUGGUUGGAUUCCUUGUAGGAAUAUCUGUUUUUCUGUUGAUUCAUGUUAGAAUGUCACGGCUGUCUAGGACCGGUGGAGAUGUGGAAUCAGGAGCAGGAGACAGAGGGCCGGAGCAACAGUGUUUUAAUGAUAAAUGCAAAAAGCAAUAGCCGUAGGGCACAGGGCGCGUGAUGAAGUCCGCCAGGGGAAAACACAUUCCCAAAAAUAAACCCUCUGGAAAAAGCGCACGGGGCGCACCCCGGCAAUAUAAUGGACAAUAACCAACGAAAAAAAAGAACAGCUACACUCGCAACUGUCUAGAGUAGACAAUAAACAAUCCCGCACGAGAACCCCAACUGAAAAUACACACUAAAUAACCCCCCACUUAUUACAGACACAAAACAGGUGCGGGAUAGACAGACAAAACCAAAAGACACAGAAACAACGAUCGGUGGCAGCUAAUAGGCCGGCGACGACGACCGCCGAGCGCCGCCCGACCGAGGAGGGGCGCCACCUUCGUUAGAUACUGUGACAUAGAAUUGUUACAGUAAAUGUCUGUAAUUCAAUUACAAAAACUGCAUACAUUUUACUGAUUAUUUGAAUUGUCAUAAUUUUUAGGGAAUUUGUGUGAGUCUUGAGGGAGGCGUCCGUAACGAGGAUCGCUGUGGCCAGCUGGUGCAGGAGUGCCGGCACACCUUGAACUCACUGCAGGAACGGAUGCUGGGUAUUGAGUCCCAGCCCAGAGACUCUAGUUUCCUGGAGACUGAUACAGGGGCUGUGGAGGUGAGAUGUAUCAGUGUGAUCACACUACACACACACAUACACACAUAUGCAUGCAACACACGCACGAACACACACACACACACACACACACACACACACACACACACACACACACACACACACACACACACACACACACACACACACACACACACACACACACACACACACACACACACACACAGACACACACAGACACACACAAACACACAGACACACACAGCCUUAUGUAAACUCAUCCUUUCAGAAAUACGUUUUCAUUGCAUUUUCCACUGUAAGAGCACUGCUGUUUGGUAAGAUGUUUUGAAGAAACAACAGCAACAACAAAUCUGCCUGUCCCAGUAGGCUUUGCAGGAGGCCAUGGGCCACAUGGAGAAAGACUUUGUGGAGCUCGAGUCUCUUAAAGACAUCCUGCUUGCCAGCUGCACCACCAAGGGUCAGGCCACUCUGUCUCAAGAGGUCAAAGAUCUCCAGGACCAGAAGGAGGAGUUAGAGAGGGGCGUCAGCUGGCUGGCUCAACUACAGGCAGAGGAGCAGUUAGCCCGACGAGACCAGCGAAUCAGGGAGGAGGUUGACAACCUUCAGAGGGCCCUACAAGGCUCGGCUGAGCAUUUGGGGGACGACCCGGAAACGACCGAAGGAUUCACUGAUAUUAGGCAGCUCCAGCAGCGCUGGCACGUCCUACAGGUAUAUGCUCCGGGAUGAAGUUUCCCAUAGGUACAGAUCUAGGUUCAGCUUCCCCUCCCCCAAUCCUAAUCUUAACCUUUAGUGGGGAACAUUUUUUCACUGACCCAGGCUCAGCUUCUAGGGGCAGUUUCACCCUACUUUUAGUGCUCUCAUGGUAGAACCAUUGAUAGAAAAAUAAGGAAUGGGCAAAGCCAUCUAUGGAUUGAUUGAAUGGUUUCCUAUGCGUGGCGAAUAACUAUACUGAACAAAAAUGUAAACGCAACAUCCAACAAUUUCAAAGAUUUUACUGAAUUACAGUUCAUAUAAGGAAAUCAGUCAAUUUAAAUACAUUCAUUAGGCCCUAAUCUAUGGAUUUCACAUGACUGGGCAGGGGUGCAGCCAUGGAUGGGCCUUGGAGGGCAUAGACCCACCCACUUGGCAGCCAGGCCCACCCACUGGGAAGCCAGGCCCAGCCAAUCAGAAUGAGUUUUUUGCCACAAAAGGGCCUUAUUACAGAUAGAAAUAAUCCUCAGCACCUGCAGGUGAAGAAGCCGGAUGUGGAGGUCCUGGGCUGGCGUGGUUACAAGUAGUCUAUGGUCAUGAGGCCGGUUGGACGUACUGCCAAAUUCUCUAAAACGAUGUUGGAGGCAGCUUAUGGUGGAGAAAUGAACAUUUAAUUAUCAGGCAACAGCUCUGGCGGACAUUCCUGUAGUCAGCAGGCCAAUUGCACACUCCCUCAAAACUUGAGACAUCUGUGUCAUUGUGUUGUGUGACAAAACGGUUCAUUUUAAAGUGGCCUUUUAUUGUCCCCAGCACAAGGUGCACCUGGGUGAUGAUCAUGCUGUUUAAUCAGCUUCUUGAUAUGUCACACCUAUCAGGUGGAUGGAUUAUCUUGGCAAAGGAGAAAUGCUCACUAACAGGGAUAUAAACAAAUUUGUGAACCAAAUUUGAGAGAAAUAAGCUUUUUGUGCGUAUGGAAAAUUUCAGGCAUUUUUUAUUUCAACUCAUGUUGCGUUUAUAUUUUUGUUCAGUGUACUUAUAACUACAUCUGAGAAAUAUAGGCUUAAAAUUGACAUGGUAUAAGCUGGAUAACUUAAUUGUCCAGCAUUUUAGAAUACCCCACUGUUCUCAUGACUUGUUCAGGACUGUGACCAAAGCCUGAGGGAGCUUGCGGCACGGCUUCAUCAUCUGGAGAAAGCAGUAGGGUCAGAGGACACAUAUGGAGAAUUUCAAACCGAUGUGACUUUGGCUGUGGAUUCAGCGGCCAAAGACUUAGACAGGUACCUAUUAAUAUCUGUUCUGUGGCUCCUUUCCCUCUGCAUAUCAAAGCAUUUGGAUAGCAUUUUUUGAAAAAUAU
rnacentral:lncRNA from 8 species